CCUACGGGUGGCAGCAGUGAGGAAUAUUGGUCAAUGGGCGAGAGCCUGAACCAGCCAAGUCGCGUGAGGGAGUACUGCCCUAUGGGUUGUAAACCUCUUUUGUCGGGGAGCAAAAGCCGGACGUGUCCGGCUGUGAGAGUACCCGAAGAAAAAGCAGCGGCUAACUCCGUGCCAGCAGCCGCGGUAAUACGGAGGAUGCAAGCGUGGUCCGGAAUCAUUGGGCGUAAAGAGUUCGUAGGUGGCACGUUAAGUCUGGUGUUAAAGGCGGAAGCUCAACUUCCGUAGGGCACUGGAUAAUGGCGAGCUUGAAUGCGGUAGAGGUAAAGGGAAUUCCUGGUGUAGCGGUGAAAUGCGUAGAUAUCAGGAGGAACAUCGGUGGCGUAAGCGCUUUACUGGGCCGUAAUUGACACUGAGGAACGAAAGCCGGGGUAGCAAAUGGGAUUAGAUACCCUAGUAGUC
rnacentral:rRNA from 1 species